AAAGUCGUAACAAGGUUUCCGUAGGUGAACCUGCGGAAGGAUCAUUACCGAAUCAUAUGGGCCCCUCUUGUAGGUAGACCAAUGCCAUGCAACGGCCUGCAGUCAGAAUUCGAUGCGAAUCUAAGAGCUCGCCCCUUGAUCUGGAUGCUCAUUGCCCAGGCGAUUGAAAUGCUCUUUUCAAGAGGUUGAGGUUUGGAUGUCGGAUGCUGUUGCAGCAGGGGCAGGCCUUGGAUCUCCUAUGCUUUUUCUUUUCCACCACACAAAACCUGUCAUCGUAUGGUGUUGCACUUGAACAUAUACUGUAUAAUAUAACUUUCAACAACGGAUCUCUUGGCUCUC
rnacentral:misc_RNA from 1 species